rnacentral:rRNA from 1 species
GAUGAACGCUGGCGGCGUGCUUAACACAUGCAAGUCGAACGGAAAGGCCAUGCUCUUGUGGGUUUCUCGAUUGGCGCACGGGGGUGUAACACGUGAGUAACCUGCCCCUGACAUACGGAUAAAUCUAGGAAAAUGGGUCGAAUACCGCGUAGGAGCUCCUGCUGCAUGGUGUGGGUUGGAAAAUUUCGGCGGUUGGGGAUGGUCUCGCGGCUUACCAGCUUGCUGGUCGGGUAGUUGCUUACCAAGGCUUUGACGGAUAGCCGGCCUGAGAGCGUUGACGGCCACAUUGGGACUGAGAGACGGACCAGACUCCUACGGGAGGCAGCAGGGGGGAAUAUUGCACAAUGGGCGGAAGCCUGAUGCAGCAACGCCGCGUGCGGGAUGACCUCCUUCGGGUUGUAAACCGCUUUCGCCUGUGACGAAGAGUGAGUGACGGUAAUGGGUAAAGAAGCCCCGGCUAACUACGUG